rnacentral:rRNA from 1 species
AGAACGAACGCUGGCGGCAGGCUUAACACAUGCAAGUCGAGCGCCGUAGCAAUACGGAGCGGCAGACGGGUGAGUAACGCGUGGGAACAUACCCUCCGGUUCGGAAUAACUCAGGGAAACUUGAGCUAAUACCGGAUACGGCAUCGGAGAGAGAUCUCGGCGGCGAAAGAUUUAUCGCCGGAGGAUUGGCCCGCGUCCGAUUAGCUUGUUGGUGAGGUAACGGCUCACCAAGGCUUCGAUGGGUAGCUGGUCUGAGAGGACGAUCAGCCACACUGGGACUGAGACACGGCCCAGACUCCUACGGGAGGCAGCAGUGGGGAAUCUUGCGCAAUGCGCGAAAGCGUGACGCAGCAACGCCGCGUGGGGGAAGAAGGCUUUCGGGUGUAAACCCCUUUCAGUUGGGACGAAGCUUCUCCGGUGAAUAGCCGGACGGAGUGACGGUACCUUCACAAGAAGCACCGGCUAACUACGUGCCAGCAGCCGC